rnacentral:tRNA from 1 species
GCGUGGCUGGCUCAGUCAGUAGAGCAUGAGACUCUUGAUCUUGGGGUUGUGAGUUUGAGUCCCAAGCUGAGCC